GAGCAAGCUCUACACAAUCAGCUCCCUAUCAAUCCUCCAGGGUGGGAACACAGCAAAGGUAAUUAAGGUUGUAGCGAUGUGAUGUAGGUCUGCUUGCUCCAU
rnacentral:SRP_RNA from 1 species